AUUGAACGCUGGCGGAAUGCUUUACACAUGCAAGUCGAGCGGCAGCGAGACCUUCGGGUUGUCGGCGAGCGGCGAACGGGUGAGUAAUAUAUAGGAACAUACCCAGUAAUGGGGGAUAACGCCGAGAAAUCGGUGCUAAUACCGCAUACGCCCUGGAGGGGGAAAGCGGGGGAUCUUCGGACCUCGCGUUAUUGGAAUGGCCUAUAUCUGAUUAGCUAGUUGGUGAGGUAAAGCUCACCAAGGCUUCGAUCAGUAGCUGGUCUGAGAGGAUGAUCAGCCACACUGGAACUGAGACACGGUCCAGACUCCGUACGGGAGGCUG
rnacentral:rRNA from 1 species